GAUGAACGCUAGCGGCAGGCCUAAUACAUGCAAGUCGAACGGUAACGGGCCUUCGGGUGCCGACGAGUGGCGAACGGGUGAGUAAUGCAUCGGAACGUACCUUUCAGUGGGGGAUAACGUAGCGAAGGUUACGCUAAUACCGCAUAUUCUGUGAGCAGGAAAGCAGGGGAUCGCAAGACCUUGCGCUGAUUGAGCGGCCGAUGUCAGAUUAGCUAGUUGGUGAGGUAAAGGCUCACCAAGGCGACGAUCUGUAGCGGGUCUGAGAGGAUGAUCCGCCACACUGGAACUGAGACACGGUCCAGACUCCUACGGGAGGCAGCAGUGGGGAAUUUUGGACAAUGGGGGCAACCCUGAUCCAGCCAUGCCGCGUGAGUGAAGAAGGCCU
rnacentral:rRNA from 1 species